rnacentral:rRNA from 1 species
CGGCGGACGGGUGAGUAACACGUGGAUAACCUACCUAUAAGACUGGGAUAACUUCGGGAAACCGGAGCUAAUACCGGAUAAUAUAUUUAACCGCAUGGUUCAAUAGUGAAAGACGGUUUUGCUGUCACUUAUAGAUGGAUCCGCGCCGCAUUAGCUAGUUGGUAAGGUAACGGCUUACCAAGGCAACGAUGCGUAGCCGACCUGAGAGGGUGAUCGGCCACACUGGAACUGAGACACGGUCCAGACUCCUACGGGAGGCAGCAGCU